rnacentral:lncRNA from 1 species
CUUUGCAUCUUUUUUGAAUUUUUCAACCCACGAGGUUGAAAAAAAUAGAAAGGGGGUUAAUGCAAUAAGAUGAGCUACCCCAUAAUUUUUGGAAUUUAUUUUCACGUUGAAAAACUAUUUUGUUUCUAAAUAUUAUUGCACUAGAGGCAAUUAUAUGAGCAAAAUUAUUUGUAAUAAUUUACUUCUGGAAAAAAUCAAGUCCCAGAUGCUAUGGCACUAAAAGUUAUGAUUUUACAAAUUUUCUGGAAUUUAUUUUAGUCCAUUUGGAGUUCAAAAUAAAAAGUUAUAAAGGAAAAACAUAAAAAGAAAAAGAGAAAAGAAAAGAACAAAAUAUAAAAGGAAAACGGACCGGCCCGGCCAACUUGGGCCGAACCGGCCCAGUCAAUCCCGCGCCAGCGCCCGCGAGCCAGCCCAGCCGGCCGCCGCCCGCAGCCAACGGACAC